rnacentral:tRNA from 1 species
GCCCGGAUAGCUCAGUCGGUAGAGCAUAAGAUUGAAAAUCUUUGUGUCAGUAGUUCGAUUCUACUUUCGGGCA